rnacentral:lncRNA from 1 species
GGUUUGAAGGAUACUUAUAUUCUUGUAUUUUGCGAGCAGCUCUUGAUAGCAAAAUACUCAGCAGUUGAGUCACUUGUUUAGUGACGAUGUACUCCUACAUCCCACCUGUAUGCCAUAUCAGUGUCACCACACUCUUUGGUUAAGAGGACAACCAACUCAUAUGGCACACAAUAACCUCCACUCGAUAAACAUCAUCAUCCUGUAAUGAUGUAUUAUUUGAUCAUG